rnacentral:rRNA from 1 species
GACGUAGGAGGCGAGCGUUGUCCGGAUUCAUUGGGCGUAAAGAGCUCGUAGGCGGCUUGUCGCGUCGACUGUGAAAACCCGUGGCUCAACCAUGUGGUCUGCAGUCGAUACGGGCAGGCUAGAAUUCGGUAGGGGAGACUGGAAUUCCUGGUGUAGCGGUGAAAUGCGCAGAUAUCAGGAGGAACACCGGUGGCGAAGGCGGGUCUCUGGGCCGAUAUUGACGCUGAGGAGCGAAAGCGUGGGGAGCGAACAGG